AAAAAAAUGUGGUAGAAUCAAGAAUGUAACAUAAUGGGCAGGCUAAAUAAAUAAUUUAAUUUUACUUUUCAUACCUAUCACUUGGUGUCAUUUAUACUUAUGUCACGUACCAACGAACAAGCAUUAUUCGUAAACAAGAGUAGCCAAAUUUAAAGGAUUGGACUUCCGAGUACUAGAAUCCAGACCACACGGUUCAAUUUGUUUUUUUGAUUUUAGCACAUUUAGUAUAGAUUUUAAAAAUUUAUUUAUUUUUAAGCUCAUUUUUAAUCAUAAUUUUUUUUCCCAAUAAUAUAAUUUUGCAUAUGGAUCCUAUUUUCAAUCACAUGUUCGCCAGCGUUUUACAAACUUUAUUUUAAAAAAAAAUUACAUCAAAUAUGCCCUUAGUAUUGGAAACUAGAAAUUUGAGUACUAGAUUCAACAUUGAACAAUUCAAUUUGAUCCUCAAUUUUAGUGUUUGGGACAAGAAAUUCAAAUGAGGCGAAAUUUAAUUUAAUUUAUUUUUUUUUUCAAAAAUAUUGCACCAAUCAGAUUGAAGUAUUACCGAAUUUAAAAUAAUUUGUGUCCACUCUUCUUUUUUGUGAGAAGCAUUAGAUGAGUUCGAGAAGUAAAAUGAGUUUUCUAAUCAUGAAACUGAAAGUUUAAUAUCAUAAUUACAAUUGGAACCAACUAUUCCAUUUACUAAUUUUUAUUGAUUAUCGAUUUAGUUCGAUUCUAUUCAAAAUCGGAUAAUGUCCACCCUAAAAUUUACAAGUUUACUUCAUUUUGACUUAAGAGCAUGUUUGCAUGCUUUUUGACAAGCAUUUUCUAUAAUAAGUCGUGUGAACCAAAACCCUAUUAAUAGGUUAAUCACGUUUUUAAGCACCCCAAACAUGCUCUAUUAACUUCAAUCUACUUUUCUAAUAAAGUAAAUCAACUUAUGUAGUUAGUUUAGUUCGAGCUGACUACAUGCAUGACCUUGCACUUAUUUGCCGUUAAAUCAGUAGCUUUGCCAAAAAUGAGAACUCAAAUGAGCGAAUUAAAAAUCUUAAACUUGUCAUUUUUUAAAUUAACUUUCAAUUUGUUUGUAAACUAAUUAUUAAUUUAGUGUCAAAUAAAUGAAUAAGUGUCAUGCUAUGCAUUCCAUUAGCUACUUGAGAUUGACAAUUAAUUUUGGUUUAAAUUGCAUAGUGAUCAAAACUGAAACAAAUAACAUAAGAUGUGAAGGAUUGAAUUGAAGAAGAUUAGAGUUGAAA
rnacentral:lncRNA from 1 species